UAUGAUUAAUUGUUCAAUACUUUGUAUCUUCUAGAAUGUGGAUAGCCUACAUCUCCGAUCUGGAAUACCAAGAGAGAAACAAGCAGAAUUGCAUGGGAACUCCUUCAGGGAAAUUUGCUCCAAAUGUAGAGUGGAGUAUUUGUGGGAUUUUGAGGUGGAGACUAUUGGGUUGAAGAAGACAUCAAGGAGCUGUUCUGAUGUGAAGUGUGCGGCAAAACUUAAGGAUACUGUUCUUGAUUGGGAGGAUGUUUUGCCCCCGACAGAGAUGAAUGCAGCUGAGAAACAUUGUCGAAUGGCUGAUAUAGUAUUGUGUUUGGGGACAAGGUAGAUCUUUAGGAUCAUACAUCUUAUUGUGCAUGUUAUUUCUUACUUAUGGUUA